CUAUUAUUACUUUAAAUCUGAAGUUGACACUAUGAAAAUAUAAAUAAAAAUUGUGAUUGAUAAUAACGUUCAAAUUCAGAUCUAUAAAUUUAAAUAUAUAAAUUACAAAAGUUAAUCUUGAGUAUUUUUACUUUUACAUUAUGGGACAUGUGUUGACUUUAGUAAUUAUCCUACUAUUUCCAACAAUUUGUAUGGCCAUUAGAUGCGAAACUUGUUUUUUGCGAGGGCGAAGAUAAUACCGUUACUCCAAACUGUGAAGUUUGCACCUACGUAGGAUAUGUGGGACGUGACGGUACUGAACAUGUCAUUGAUAAACUAUGUGAUCAUACAUGUGAUCACAUUCCUUCAAUUUCUGAAAAAGUACGCAGGGAAAAAAAUGGACAUUGUUACGAUUGUUUUACUGACCUUUGCAACCUAAGUGCCCGCCAAAGUAACGUUCCAAAAAUCAACGGUUGUCGUCUUAUUAUCGUUAUUUUCGUACUCAUAUCAUUCUUUUUAUAAAAUGGAAUUGUAUAUGAACAAAAAUUGAACAGUUUAAAUAAAUUUAAUGUUAAAAUUUAAUAAA